GGAAUCAGAGACAGCUUGGAAUUAAUGUGUUCUGGUCUUUAUAGAUGGAGAACCGAGGUGUAAGGUGAUGUUGCUUGUCCCUUUGCUGACUGACCAGAGCAGAGGGAGGCCAGAUGAGGGGCUGAAUUUACUUUGUGUGGACCUGCAGUGGCUUCCUUGUUCUUGCAAAAAGAAAAUAUCAGAGUCAGACCACGUUUCUCAGAACUUCUGUUUCUGGCACUGUUGUGGAACUGAUGCAUUUAUUAACAGUUGCUGAUUUGUAAAAUUAGGCUUUUAGGCACCAGCAAAUGCAUACCUGAAGGAGAUAUAGGACAUUGCCCAGUGACAGGAAAUAGACUAGUGCCAGCUGUGCACCGAAGGCCGGAAUGGAAAGAUCCUUCUUGGCAGAUGACCAGCAUAUCACCAUUCACAAGCCUGCCACUCACUGUUUGUUUUAUGGACUACUACAAAAGAAUACUCAGGAAAUGGAAAGUCACAACCUGUCUGAAGCCCGUGGUCUCUUUAACACUUUUGGGUGUAAUGUGUCAUGUUUCUCAUGGUUCUUUCUCAUGCGUUUUCUCUCUUGACAUAACUUCAGAUUCUGCCUAGCAAGACAGAAUAGCAGGAGAAAGAAAAAAAAUUAGUCUAUCGGUUGAAUAAGCAAUUAGGUAAGCAAGAUAACAUCCUGGUAGUCCAUUUUUUUUUCAUGACAAAACACAAAAGAAGAAUGGAAUAGUGCAUUUUCUUGACAUCAUCCAUAAACAAUUGUUGAGUUGAGAGUGUUCCUAGUUUAAAGAAUACGUUCACACAUCUGAUGAGUCAGGGAAGACAUUUUUAUGUAUGGACACACACUAUAAAAAAUACAUGCUAACGUGCAGUCACUCGUAUGUCCAAGUGGUCAAGUUGCCAUCUGUCUCUCGGACAUAACUGACAAAUGUGGCAUAAUUUUAAAUUGCCCCAUUUGAUUUACUGCAAAAAAAAUCUAAAGCAGAGAUGGCACAGGUAUCAUUUGGUUAGUCUGUGGAUAAUUAGAAAAAUUACCGUAAAUGCCCACUGUAAAAGCAAUUGUGGUAAGUUAAGUUGGCUGUUUUGUUGGGUAAUACUGAUUCUGAUUUCACAUAAAAAAUCCACAUCAAAAAAAUCAACCCACAGCUCAGCCGAGGACCAUGACCAAUGACCUCCCCAGCAGGGAGAGAGGCCCCUUGGUCUCAUUGUUCCACACUGGUCACAGCAGUUACUGCUUUGCAUUUCUAUCUAGAUUCCAUAUCAGUGACACCACUGAAAUAUGUUCCAAUGGCUUUCAGAUCAAUGCACGAGUCUAUGUGCUAUAUGAAGAUCUUAGAGCAAUGUGUAAGUUUUGUUUAAAACGCAUCCUUCCAGGUCAAUGGAAUCAUACAUUAGGUGUUUUCAUGUGGGAAAAUGAAAAAUUAGAAGUUAACGCUUCACGGUCUACUUAGUAUUUGCCCCUAGUGACAUUCACCUAAGUAACACUUCUGUUAAGUGCUUUUUUUAUUUUUUAUUUUUUUUAUUCACUGAUCCACAUCCCAAGUGGAAAUUUUCUCCACCUUCUUCAGUGCCAGUGUGGAUGAAGCUCAUGCUGGAGACCCUGUAUGCUCUGCUCUUUGACAGUCCCUGGCAGGCUCAGGAAGCAGUCUCUCUUGUGAAGGUUCAUCUUCUCAGCAUCUGUGAGUGCAGAGAGCCACAUUCUUGUGAGUGUCAGUGUUCAUAUGCAGUGUCCCACAGGUUUGUCUGUACAGAAAUCUCACAUGCAUUAAUCUCACAUGCAUUCUAGUGUACCUUAAAGCUGACAAUUUUUCACUAUCAGUUUUUUGAACAGACCAAAGUAGGAUUUAACAAUUCUGCCUACUCACUCUAUUCUGUUUGGACUGUUGAUAAACAGUGGAAAUAAUCUCAGAUUUUCUCACCACAUUUUUUCUUCAGUCCAGUGGCAAUGGUUAUUCAGGUGAACUAGAGUCAGACUUGAUAGCUGUUGGGACUCAUUCAUGAUCUGAUUUUUUUUUGUUGUAAAGGAAGCGGGGGAAAGAUGGGCACUGUAGAAUUUUCACAGUGCUGUACAAAUACUUGUUUUAAUAGGUGAAAGGUAGGUAUUUUGCCCAUUUGUCACUUUUUUAAUGCUUACUCAUUGCAAGAAUGAAUACAAGUUAAUUACAAAAGAAUGUGAGGAAGGUGGUACAGCUUUAAUUGCAGCUUUCCUGGCCAACUAUGCAUAGCUUGCUUGGGUUUGUCAGUACAAACUGUCCUGUCUAUUUGCCCAUAUUCUGACAAUUGUUUCUCCUCAGUUAAAAUAAAGGAAAUUUUUAUCUCAGGCUUAGUCUUUUUUCAGUGCAAUUGUUACCUCUGUGGCUGACAGUACUGU